rnacentral:rRNA from 1 species
CAAGUUACCGGAGUAACUGCCGNUACCUUGACGGUACCUGACCAGAAAGCCACGGCUAACUACGUGCCAGCAGCCGCGGUAAUACGUAGGUGGCAAGCGUUGUCCGGAAUUAUUGGGCGUAAAGCGCGCGCAGGCGGUUCCUUAAGUCUGAUGUGAAAGCCCCCGGCUCAACCGGGGAGGGUCAUUGGAAACUGGGGAACUUGAGUGCAGAAGAGAAGAGUGGAAUUCCACGUGUAGCGGUGAAAUGCGUAGAGAUGUGGAGGAACACCAGUGGCGAAGGCGACUCUUUGGUCUGUAACUGACGCUGAGGCGCGAAAGCGUGGGGAGCAAACAGGAUUAGAUACCCUGGUAGUCCACGCCGUAAACGAUGAGUGCUAAGUGUUAGAGG